CAAAAAGAGACAAAUAAGUUACACAAAGACACAGAAUGAAAAUGCAUGUUAUGUGAUGAAGUUCUCGAUCUAUUCCUAGUUGUAAGCUUAGGAUAACAUAAUACAAAGCAAUGACUGAAUUAAGUUGUCAUAAUAGAACUAUUAUUUCCGACAGAACUUUCUAGGUUAGAAAUAUCAAUGAUCCAAUAAAAUAUAGAUGGAGGAAUGCUCUUUUUUGGACACCAUUUGUUCGGUGAGGAAGGAAACUUCAAAUAAUUAUUUUGAUGGAGACGGACCAAGACAACUAGAAAGAGACAAAAAAAGCCCUGUAGAAAUCUACAAGAAUUCAAGGCAUCUGCUUCACACACCAUCGAGAGCUCAUCUUCUAGUCUAGUGGAGAUUCUAAUCUCGGGGCAGGAAAUCUCAUUCUUGUCGAUUCUGGAUCCACUUUUCAGCUUGCUCAAUUUUGUGGAGGGGAUUUCUCGUUUGUACUGAUGUUCUG